CUGCUAUAAUUCACCGGACUGUCUGGUGUAGCACCAGACUGUCCGGUGCGCCAGCAGAGCAACGACUAUUUCGUGCCAACGGUCGCCUGCAGAAGACAUUAAAUGCGCUACAGUGCACGCAGAAGUCAGAGCACGCGCAGAAGGCGCACCGGACAGUCUACAGGACCUGUCCGGUGCACCACCGGACUGUUCGUUGCCCCAGAUGUCAGAAGCUCCAACGGUUAGAAUACAACGGACGGGUGACGUGGCUGGCGCACCGGACUGUCCGGUGCGCCAUGCGACAGAAGCCCUCACCAACAGUUCUUUUGGUGGUUGGGGCUAUAAAUACCCCCAACCACCACACUUCAAUGCAUCCAAGUUUUCAGCCUUCAAACACCUUACAAGAGCUAUAGCAUUCAAUACAAGACACAAUCAAAGAGAUCAAAUCCUCUCCCAAGUCCAAAGAUCAUUGCAAUCAAAUAGUGACUAGUGAGAGAGAGACUUGUGUUCAUUUGAGCUCUUGCGCUUGGAUUGAUUUUCUUCUUCAUUCUUUCUUGUGUUCAUCUCAAUUGUAACCAAGACAAGAGACACCAAUUGUGUGGUGGACCUUGUGGGAACUUAGUGUCCCGUUUGAUUGAGAAGAGAAGCUCACUCGGUCUAAGUGACCGUUUGAGAGAGGGAAAGGGUUGAAAGAGACCCGGUCUAUGUGACCACCUCAAUGGGGAGUAGGUUUGCAAGAACCGAACCUUGGUAAAACAAAUCACUGUGUCAUCCGCCUUAUUUGCUUGUGAUUUGUUUUCGCCCUCUCUUCCGGACUCGAAUUUUAUUCUAACACUAACCCCGGCUUGUAGUUGUGCUUAAAGUUUGUAAAUUUCAGAUUCGCCCUAUUCACCCCCCUCUAGGCGACUUUCAAUUGGUAUCAGAGCCCGGUACUUCAUUAGAGCCUAACCGCUCGAAGUGAUGUCGGGAGAUCACGCCAAGAAGGAGAUGAUGACCGGCGAGAAGCCCGCCACAAGCCAUAGGAAGGCUCCAUCCGGGGAGUCUGGCAACAAGGUGAAGGGAUCCCCUUCACAUGACAAGUCGCGUCGGAGCGGUGACAAGAAGAAGAAGAUGAAGAAGGUGGUCUACUACGAGACCGACUCCUCAUCGCCAUCCACCUCCGGCUCCGACACGCCGUCCGUCACUUCUAAGCACCAUGAGCGCAAGAAGUUUAGUAAGAUCCCCUUACGUUAUCCUCGCAUUUCCAAAUGCACCCCUUUACUUUCCGUCCCACUAGGCAAACCACCGGUUUUUGACGGUGAAGAUUAUUGUAUGUUGAGUGAUAAAAUGAGGCACCAUCUAACCUCACUCCACGCUAGCAUUUGGAACUUUGUUGAGUUUGGUGCACAGGAACCAUCCGUGGGGGAUGAAGGCUAUGACUCGGAUGAAGUAGCCCAAAUCCGGCACUUCAACUCCCAAGCCACCACUAUACUCCUCGCCUCUCUAAGUCGAGAGGAGUAUAACAAGGUGCAAGGGUUGAAGAGUGCCAAAGAAAUUUGGGAUGUACUCAAGACCGCACACGAAGGAGAUGAGGUGACCAAGAUCACCAAGAGGGAAACGAUCGAGGGGGAGCUCGGUCGUUUCAUGCUUCACCAAGGGGAGGAUCCACAAGCCAUGUACAACUGGCUCAAGACCUUGGUGAACCAAGUGCGCAACCUCGGAAGCACCAAGUGGGAUGACCAUGAGAUGGUCAAGGUUAUUCUAAGAUCACUUGUAUUUCUUAAUCCCACUCAAGUUCAAUUAAUUCGUGGUGAUCCUAGAUACAAGAUAAUGUCUCCCGAGGAAGUAAUAGGAAAAUUUGUGAGCUUUGAAUUAAUGAUCAAAGGCUCCAAGAAAAUCAUCGAGCAAGGCGUCUCCUCCACACCCGAUGUGCAACCCGUGGCAUUCAAGGCAACGGAGGAGAAGAAAGAAGACUCUACACCGAGUAGAGUCCCCAUCGAUGCCUCCAAGCUCGACAACGAGGAGAUGGCACUCAUCAUCAAGAGCUUUCGCCAAAUCCUCAAGCAAAGGAGGGGGAAAGACUACAAGCCCCGCUCCAAGAAAGUUUGCUACAAGUGUGGUAAGCCCAGUCAUUUUAUUGCAAAAUGUCCAUUAUCAAGUGAUAGUGACAGGGGCGACGACAAGAAGGGAAAGAGAAGAGAAAAGAAGACGUACUACAAGAAGAAGGGCGGUGAUGCCCAUGUUUGCCGGGAGUGGGACUCCGACGAGAGCUCCACCGACUCCUCCUCCGAUGAGGACGCCGCAAACAUCGCCGUCACCAAAGGGCUUCUCUUCCCCAACGUCGGUCACAAGUGCCUCAUUGCAAAGGACGGAAAGAAGAAGAAGGUAAAAUCUAGAUCCUCCACUAAGUAUGCAACAUCUAGUGAUGAGGCUAAUUCUACUGAUGAUGAGGAUGAUUUAUUAACACUUUUUGCCAACUUAAACAUGCAACAAAAGGAAAAAUUAAAUGAGUUAAUUAGUGCUAUUCAUGAGAAGGAUGAACUCUUGGACACCCAAGAGUACUUCCUAAUUAAAGAAAAUAAAAAGCAUGUUAAGGUGAAAAAUGCUUAUGCUCUAGAGAUAGAAAAAUGUGAAAAAUUAACUAGCGAGCUAAGCACUUGCCAUGAUAUUAUUUCCAACCUUAGAAAUGAAAAUGCCAAAUUAAUUGCUAAGGUUGAGAAGUCAAAUAUUUGUGAUGAUUCAAUUGACAAUCUUAGAAAUGAUAAUGCUAGUUCAAUUGCUAAGAUUGAAAAAUUGAAUGCCUCUCUUGCUAGCCUUAGAAAUGAGAAUGAAAAAUUAAUUGUUAAGGCUAAGGAAUUAGAUGUUUGCAAUGUUUCCAUUUCCAAUCUUAGAGAUGAGAAUGACAUUUUACAUGCUAAGAUUGUUGAACUAAAUUCUUGCAAACCCUCUACAUCUACCGUUGAGCAUGUUACAAUUUGCACUAGAUGUAGAGAUGUUAACAUUGAUGCUAUUCAUGAUCACAUGGAUAUGAUUAAACAACAAAAUGAUCAUAUAGCAAAAUUAGAUGCUAAAAUUGCCGAGCAUGAGUUAGAAAAUGAAAAAUUUAAAUUUGCUCGUAGUAUGCUCUAUAGUGGGAGACGCCCUGGCAUUAAUGAUGGCAUUGGCUUCCAACAGGGAGGCAAUGUCAAACUUAAUGCCCCUCCUAAAAGAUUGUCAAACUUUGUUAAGGGCAAGGCUCCCAUGCCUCGGGAUAACGAGGGUUACAUUUUAUACCCUGCCGGUUAUCCCGUGCACAAAAUUAGGAGAAAUCAUUCUAGGAAGUCUCACUCUGGCUCUAAUCAUGCUUUUAUGUAUAAGAGUGAGGCAUCUAGUUCUAGGCAAUCAACCCGUGCUAAAUUGUCUAAGAAGAAAACUCCUAUUGCAUCAAAUGAACCUAAUAUUUCAUUUAAGACUUUUGAUGCAUCUUAUGUGCUAACUAACAAAUCAGGCAAAGUAGUUGCCAAAUAUGUUGGGGGCAAACACAAAGGAUCAAAGACUUGUGUUUUGGUACCCAAGGUGCUUGUUUCUAAUGUGAAAGGACCCAAGACCGUUUGGGUACCUAAGAACAAGGCCUAAACUUAUUUUGUAGGUUUAUGCAUCUGGGGCUCAAGUUGGAUCAUCGAUAGCGGGUGCACAAACCACAUGACAGGGGAGAAGAAGAUGUUCUCCUCCUAUGAGAAAAACCAUGAUCCCCAAAGAGCUAUCACAUUCGGGGAUGGAAAUCAAGGUUUGGUCAAAGGAUUAGGUAAAAUUGCUAUAUCACCUGACCAUUCUAUUUCCAAUGUUUUUCUUGUAGAUUCUUUAGAUUACAAUUUGCUUUCUGUUUCUCAAUUAUGCAAAAUGGGCUACAACUGUCUUUUUACAGAUUUAGGUGUUACUGUCUUUAGAAGAAGUGAUGAUUCAGUAGCAUUUAAGGGAGUGUUAGAGGGUCAGCUAUACUUGGUAGAUUUUGAUAGAGCUGAACUCGACACUUGCUUAAUUGCUAAGACUAACAUGGGUUGGCUCUGGCAUCGCCGACUAGCCCAUGUUGGGAUGAAGAAUCUUCAUAAGCUUCUAAAGGGAGAGCACAUUUUGGGACUAACCAAUGUUCAUUUUGAGAAAGACAGGGUUUGUAGCGCAUGUCAAGCAGGAAAGCAAGUUGGUGUUCAUCAUCCACACAAGAACAUCAUGAUGAUCGAUAGGCCGCUUGAACUACUCCACAUGGACUUAUUCGACCCGAUUGCUUACAUAAGCAUCAGCGGGAGUAAGUAUUGUCUCGUAAUUGUGGAUGAUUAUUCUCGCUUCACUUGGGUGUUCUUUUUGCAGGAAUAAUCUCAAACCCAAGAGACUUUAAAGGGAUUCUUGAAAUGGGCUCAAAAUGAAUUCGGUUUGAGGAUCAAGAAAAUAAGAAGCGACAAUGGGACGGAGUUCAAGAACUCUCAAAUAGAAGGCUUCCUUGAGGAGGAGGGCAUCAAGCAUUAGUUCUCUUCUACCUACACGCCACAACAAAAUGGUGUAGUGGAGAGGAAGAAUAGAACUCUAUUGGACAUGGCAAGGACCAUGCUUGAUGAGUACAAGACUUUGGAUCGGUUUUGGGCUGAGGCGGUUAACACCGCUUGCUACGCCAUCAACCGGUUAUAUCUACACCGAAUCCUCAAGAAGACAUCGUAUGAACUCACCGGUAAAAAGAUAAAUGUUUCAUAUUUUAGAGUCUUUGGUAGCAAAUGUUUUAUUCUUGUUAAAAGAGGUAGAAAAUCUAAAUUUGCUCCUAAGGAUGUAGAAGACUUUUUACUAGGAUAUGAUUCAAACACGAGGGCAUAUAGAGUCUUUAACAAGUCCACGGGACUAGUUGAAGUUUCUUGUGACAUUGUGUUUGAUGAGACUAACGGCUCUCAAGUAGAGCAAGUUGAUCUUGAUGUGCUAGAUGAUGAAGAGGCUCCGUGCGACGCGCUGAGGAACAUGUCCAUUGGGGAUGUGUGUCCUAAGGAAUCCGAAGAGCCUCCACAAGCACAAGAUCAACCAUCUUCCUCAAUGCAAGCAUCUCCACCAACUCAAGAUGAGGAUCAAGCUCAAGAUGAUGAUGAAGAUCAAGAGGAGCCACCUCAAGAGGACAAUGAUCAAGGGGGAGAUGCUAAUGAUCAAGAUAAGGAAUAUGAUGAGGACCCAAGACCGCCACACCCAAGAGUCCACCAAGCAAUCCAACGAGAUCACCCCGUGAACACCAUCCUCGGCGAUAUUCAAAAGGGGGUAACCACUCGAUCUCGUGUUGCUCAUUUUUGUGAACAUUACUCUUUUGUUUCCUCUAUUGAGCCACACAUAGUAGAGGAAGCACUUCAAGAUUCGGAUUAGGUGCUAGCGAUGCAAGAGGAGCUCAACAACUUCACAUGGAAUGAGGUAUGGCAUUUAGUUCCACGUCCUAACCAAAAUAUUGUAGGAACCAAGUGGGUCUUCCGCAACAAGCAAGAUGAGCAUGGUGUGGUGACAAGGAACAAAGCCCGACUUGUGGCCAAGGGAUAUUCACAAGUCAAAGGUUUGGAUUUCGGUGAAACCUAUGCACCCGUAGCUAGGCUUGAGUCAAUUCGCAUUUUACUUUCCUAUGCUACUUACCAUGGCUUUAACCUUUACCAAAUGGACGUGAAAAGUGCCUUCCUCAAUGGACCAAUCAAGGAAGAGGUCUAUGUUGAGCAACCUCCCGGCUUUGAAGAUAGUGAAUACCCUAACCAUGUCUAUAAACUCUCUAAGGCGCUUUAUGGGCUCAAGCAAGCCCCAAGAGCAUGGUAUGAAUGCCUUAGAGAUUUCCUUAUCGCUAAUGGCUUCAAAGUCGGAAAAGCUGAUCCUACUCUCUUUACUAAAACACUUGCAAAUGAUUUGUUUGUAUGCCAAAUUUAUGUUGAUGAUAUCAUAUUUGGGUCUACUAACGAAUCUACAUGUGAAGAGUUUAGUAGGAUCAUGACUCAAAAAUUCGAGAUGUCUAUGAUGGGGGAGUUGAAGUAUUUCUUAGGAUUUCAAGUGAAGCAACUCCAAGAGGGCACCUUCAUUAGCCAAACGAAGUACAUUCAAGACAUACUCACCAAGUUUGGGAUGAAGGAUGCCAAGCCCAUCAAGACACCCAUGGGAACUAAUGGGCAUCUCGACCUCGACACGGGAGGUAAAUCCGUAGAUCAAAAGGUAUACCGGUCGAUGAUAGGUUCUUUACUCUAUUUAUGUGCUUCACGACCGGAUAUUAUGCUUUCCGUAUGCAUGUGUGCAAGAUUCCAAGCCGAUCCUAAGGAAGUUCAUCUUAGGGCCGUGAAAUGAAUCUUGAGAUAUUUAGUUUAUACUCCUAAGUUUGGCCUUUGGUACCCCAGGGGAUCCACAUUUGAUUUAAUUGGUUAUUCCGAUGCUGAUUGGGCAAGGUGUAAAAUUAAUAGAAAGACCACAUCAGGGACUUGCCAGUUCUUGGAAAGAUCUCUGGUGUCUUGGGCUUCAAAGAAGCAAAAUUCUGUGGCUCUUUCUACUGCAGAAGCCGAGUAUAUUGCCGCAGGUCAUUGUUGCGCGCAAUUGCUUUGGAUGAGGCAAACCCUUAUGGACUACGGUUACAAAUUAACCAAAGUUCCUCUUCUAUGUGAUAAUGAGAGUGCAAUCCGCAUGGUAGAUAAUCCCGUUGAGCAUAGCCGCACUAAACACAUAGCCAUUCGGUAUCAUUUCUUAAGGGAUCACCAACAAAGGGGAUAUCGAGAUUGCAUAUGUUAACACCAAAGAACAAUUAGCCGAUAUCUUUACCAAGCCAUUAGAUGAGCAAACUUUUACCAAACUUAGGCAUGAGCUAAAUAUUCUUGAUUCUAGGAAUUUUGAUUGAUGUUUUGCACACAUAGCUCAUUUAUAUACCUUUGAUCAUAUCUCUUUCUUUGCUAUGACUAAUGUGGCUUUCAAGUGUAUUUCAAGCUCAGUCAUAGAUUGAAAGGGGAAAUGGAGUCUUCGGCGAAGACAAGGCUUCCACUCCACUCCAUCGAAUUAUUCAUCCUUCGCCGUCGCUCCGCACCGCUCUCCAACUUUGGUAUAAUCUUCACUCAUAUUUUAUUUACCAUAGGGGGAGAAAGUAGUUUAAAAAGGGCUCUAAUGACUCCGUUUUUGGUGAUUCAUGCCAAAGGGGAGAGAGUAUUAGCCCAAAGCAAAAGGACCGCACCACCACCAAUUUCAAAAAUUUUAGUCUCUCAAUUUGUUUUUAAAGUAGUGUUUUCAAAUUGGUAUCUUAUUGGUGAUAUAAUUUCAAUUUGGUAUACCCUCUUCAAAAUUAACAUCUAAAACCCUCUUGAACACUAAGAGUAGGAUUUCAUUAAGGGGGAGUUUUGUUUAGUCAAAGGAAAAACACUUGAAACAAAGGGAGAAAAUUUCAGAUCUUGAAAAUGCUUCUCAAAAUCCUACUCAUAUAUCUUUGACUAUUUGCAAAAAGACUUUGAAAAGAAUUUCCAAAACAUUUGCAAAACAAAACAUGUGGUGCAAGCAUGGUCCAAAAUUUUAAAUAAGAAGAAAGUCAUCCAUGCAUAUCUAGUAGGAAUAAUUAUUGGUUUCAUUCCAAGUAACCUUUGCACUUAUGCAAAAUAGUUCAAUUCUCCACUUUAUAUUUGCUUUGGUUUCUGUUGGCAUCAAUCACCAAAAAGGGGGAGAUUGAAAGGGAAAUAGGCUUACACCUUUUCCUAAUUGAUUUUGGUGGUUGAAUUUCCCAACACAAAUAAUUGGACUAACUAGUUUGCUCUAGAUUAUAAGUUUUACAGGUGGCAAAGGUUCACAACAAACAAAUAAAAGGACUAAGAAAGGGUUCAAAUAAAAGGAGCAAUAGACAACCGAAGUGUGCCCUGGUCUGGCGCACCGGACUGUCCGGUGUGCCACCGGACAGUGUCCGGUGCACCAGGAAACUCAACUCCGAACUACUCACCUUCGGGAAUUCCGGGAGCCACUCCGCUAUAAUUCACCGGACUGUCCGGUGUAGCACCGGACUGUCCGGUGCGCCAGCAGAGCAACAACUAUUUCGCGCCAACGGUCGCCUGCAGAAGACAUUAAAUGCGCUAUAGUGCGCGCAGAAGUCAGAGCACGCGCAGAAGGCGCACCGAACAGUCUACAGGACCUGUCUGGUGCACCACCGGACUGUCCGGUGCCCCAGAUGUCAGAAGCUCCAACGGUCAGAAUCCAACGGCCGGGUGACGUGGCUGGCGCACCUGACAAUGUUUCUUUUGGUGGUUGGGGCUAUAAAUACCCCCCAACCACCACACUUCAAUGCAUCCAAGUUUUCAGCCUUCAAACACCUUACAAGAGCUAUAGCAUUCAAUACAAGACACAAUCAAAGAGAUCAAAUCCUCUCCCAAGUCCAAAGAUCAUUCCAAUCAAAUAGUGACUAGUGAGAGAGAGACUUGUGUUCAUUUGAGCUCUUGCGCUUGGAUUGCUUUUCUUCUUCAUUCUUUCUUGUGUUCAACUCAAUUGUAACCAAGACAAGAGACACCAAUUGUGUGGUGGUCCUUGUGGGGACUUAGUGUCCCGUUUGAUUGAGAAGAGAAGCUCACUCGGUCUAAGUGAUCGUUUGAGAGAGGGAAAGGGUUGAAAGAGACCCGGUCUUUGUGACCACCUCAAUGGGGAGUAAGUUUGCAAGAACCGAACCUCGGUAAAACAAAUCACUGUGUCAUCCACCUUAUUUGCUUGUGAUUUGUUUUCUCCC
rnacentral:lncRNA from 1 species